GCUCGCAUGGCCCAGUGGCUAAGGCAUCCCACUCGUAUGUUUACGACGAUCAUGGGAAGAUCGCCGGUUCAACUCCGGCUGUGAGCA